AAGGCUAAGUCCACCUGUCAUUAUGGGCUACAGCAGAAAAAAGUGAAAGUGAAGGAGUGUCCAUCUCAGUCUGCUGACCUCAAUAUCAUGGAGCCACUUUGGGGGGGGUCUCAAACAUGCAGUUCAUGCAAAGAAACCCAAAAUCUAAAAGGAACUGAAGGGGUUUUGACAAGAAGAAUGGACAGUUUUACCAUCUGAGAAAAUAAAGUGGCUCAUCCAUAACUACCA